rnacentral:rRNA from 1 species
UACGGGGGGUGCGAGCGUUGUCCGGAAUCACUGGGCGUAAAGGGCGCGUAGGUGGCUUGGUAAGCGUGUGGUGAAAGCCCGGGGCUCAACCCCGGGUCUGCCAUGCGAACUGCCAUGGCUUGAGCACUGUAGAGGCAGGUAGAAUUCCGGGUGUAGCGGUGGAAUGCGUAGAGAUCCGGAAGAAUACCGGUGGCGAAGGCGGCCUGCUGGGCAGUGGCUGACACUGAGGCGCGACAGCGUGGGGAGCAAACAGG